CCUACGGGUGGCUGCAGUGAGGAAUAUUGGUCAAUGGCCGGAAGGCUGAACCAGCCAUGCCGCGUGAAUGUCAGUGCCCUAUGGGCGUUAAACUACUUUUGUCCGGGAGCAAUGAUGGUCACGUGUUGCCAGCCGCGAUUACCGUACGAAGAAGCAUCAGCUAACUCCGUCCCAGCAGCCGCGGUAAUGCGGGUGAUGCAAGCGUUAGCCCGAUUUGUUGGGUUUAAAGGUUGCGUAGGCUGUGCGGUAAAUCAGCGUUGAAAUGCCCCCGCUCAACGGGGUGAAGUGCAAUUGAUACUGGCAUGCUGGAAUGCGGAUGCGGGGGGUGGAAUGUGUGGUGUAGCGGUGAAAUGCAUAGAGAUC
rnacentral:rRNA from 1 species